rnacentral:rRNA from 1 species
GCCUGUUUAUCAAAAACAUCGCCUCUCGAAUUCAAAUGAGAGGUCCAGCCUGCCCAGUGACCACAGUUCAACGGCCGCGGUAUCCUAACCGUGCGAAGGUAGCGUAAUCACUUGUUCUUUAAAUGAGGACUAGUAUGAAUGGCAUCACGAGGGUUAUUCUGUCUCCUUUUUCUAAUCAGUUAAACUAUUCUCCCCGUGAAGAAACGGGGAUAAAUCUAUAAGACGAGAAGACCCUAUGGAGCUUUAAAUUUUAUUUCAAUUGCUUUCCUUACAUGAUCUGUCCCGACUUCCUAUUCCCAACUAAGCAUACUGAAAACAAAUUUUAGGUUGGGGUGACCGCGGAGCAUAAUAAAACCUCCGCACAGGACAGGCCUAAGCCUUGAACAGAGAGCCACAACUCUAAGUACUAACACACUAACAUCCAUUGACCCAAUAUUUUUGAUCAACGAACCAAGUUACCCUAGGGAUAACAGCGCAAUCUACUUUGAGAGCUCCUAUCGACAAGUGGGUUUACGACCUCGAUGUUGGAUCAGGGUAUCCCAGUGGUGCAGCCGCUACUAAAGGUUCGUUUGUUCAACGAUCAAAACCCU